rnacentral:rRNA from 1 species
UACGUAGGAGGCAAGCGUUGUCCGGAGUACUGGGCGUAAAGCGCACGCAGGCGGUCGUGUCAGUCUGGGGUGACAGUUUCCGGCUUAACCGGAAAAGGACUCUGGAAACUGCACGACUUGAGGGCUCAGAGGGAUGUGGAAUUCCAGGUGGAGUGGUGAAAUGCGUAGAGAUCUGGAAGAACACCAAAGGCGAAGGCAGCAUCCUGGGAAGUUCCUGACGCUCGGGUGCG